rnacentral:rRNA from 1 species
AUACGGAGGAUCCGAGCGUUAUCCGGAUUUAUUGGGUUUAAAGGGUGCGCAGGCGGGAGAUUAAGUCGGCGGUGAAAUUUUGCAGCUCAACUGUAAAAGUGCCUUUGAAACUGGUUUCCUUGAGUGUAGAUGAAGUAGGCGGAAUUUGUGGGGGAGCGGUGAAAUUCAUAGAUAUCACGAGGAACUCCGAUUGCGCAGGCAGCUUACUAAACUACUACUGACGCUCAGGCACGAAGGCGUGGGGAUCAAACAGGAUUAGAUACCCUGGUAGUCCACGCAGUAAACGAUGAUUACUAGCUUUUUGCGAUACAAUGUAAGCGGCUGAGCGAAAGCGUUAAGUAAUCCACCUGGGGAGUACGUUCGCAAGAAUGAAACUCAAAUGAAUUGACGGGG